GCACUCACUUCGGCAGCACGUAUAUAAAAGUUGGAAGGAUACAGAGAUUAGCAUGGCCCCACACAAGGAUGAUACACAAUUUGUAAAGCAUUCCAUAUUUUU